rnacentral:rRNA from 1 species
AACGUAGGAGACAAACGUUAUCCGGAGUUACUGGGCGUAAAGGGCGUGUAGGCGGUUAGUUAAGUCUGGCGUGAAAGCUCUCGGCUAAACCGGGAGAGGUCGUCGGAUACUGGCAAACUAGAGGACGGUAGAGGCGUGUGGAAUUCCGGGUGUAGUGGUGAAAUGCGUAGAGAUCGGCAGGAACACCCAGGGGGAAACCAGUGGACUGGGCAUGUGCUGACGCUCAGGUGCGAAAGCGUGGGGAGCGAACCGG